AUGUAUCGGCCUCCUCUGUUAGCUGUGCUGCAUCGAACUCAUCUCUCUUUCUCCUGUCCCCAUUCCCCAUCCCCUCGUCGAACCCUAGCUCAACGAUUUGGCGGCUUGCGGCGACUGAAGGCUACGAGAUAACCAGAGAAGGUGGCAGGGCAAGCAAGUAGGUGUUGGCGGCUACGGAUUUCACAGGUGGCCGCAUCUACACCGAAGGCGAUGGAUGCCCCAUAACCCCAGCUGGUGUUCCGCAACAAUUGGUGGCGCCAAUAAUGGAGGACAACGAGACUAGAGGUUGCUGAUGAUGACCCUCUUGAUGUUCAUGUUCUGCAUGAUCCUUUGAGUCCAACAAAUCAGAAGAGCUAUUUCCUGAUAUCAUAUCAUUCGGGAAAGCCAUAAGGCAUUUUGCUAUCGUCAAGGGUUUUGAGUUUGCACCUAGGGUCCGAACAGACAAGUCAAGAUUCAUUGUGAGGUGUGCAGCCACCAACUGCCCUUGGCACGUACAUGCUUCUACCAUUUUGAUAAGAAAACUAUACAAAUCAAAGUGCUACCUGCAGAGCACAAUUGUCCUACCACCAAGCUUAGAGAAGGCAAAAUGGCUACCUAGGGUUGGUGUGCAGAUACACUUGGGGAUUGGAUUAAGAAGAACCCAACUAAGGGACCUAAGGAUGCUAAAGACAAGUUGGAGGGUGAUUUUGGCAUAAAGCUAAAGUACUCAAAAGCCUAGUCAGAUUAAUAGCAAGCUCUAAACCAGAUUCAUGGUAAGUACGAGGAAAGCUUUCAACUCCUUUUCAACUGGGUUGCAUAGAUUGAACUUAAAUCUCUUGGAAGUAGAGUACAAAUAGAGUUAGAGAAUGUUGGUAAAAAUAAAAGGUUCAAGAGAGUAUUUGUUGCUUUGAAGCCAUGCAUCGAUGGCUUCUUAGCAGGUUGUAGACCAUUCAUUUGUGUAGAUGCAUCUUGUCUGCAUGGAAAAUAUACUAGAUAGUUGGCUUCAGCUACUAGGGUCGAUGGGCACAAGUGGAUUCUAGAAAAUUUGGACAUAGCCAUAGGAGACCCUCCAGGUUUAGUGUUAUGUUUAGAUGAUUAUAAAGGAUUAGAGAAAGUUGUGGGGGGUGUCUUCCCAUAGGUGGAGAACAGAGAGUGCAUGA